rnacentral:rRNA from 1 species
CGGGACACGUGGUAUCCUGUCUGAAUAUGGGGGGACCAUCCUCCAAGGCUAAAUACUCCUGACUGACCGAUAGUGAACCAGUACCGUGAGGGAAAGGCGAAAAGAACCCCGGCGAGGGGAGUGAAAAAGAACCUGAAACCGUGUACGUACAAGCAGUGGGAGCACGCUUAGGCGUGUGACUGCGUACCUUUUGUAUAAUGGGUCAGCGACUUAUAUUCUGUAGCAAGGUUAACCGAAUAGGGGAGCCGAAGGGAAACCGAGUCUUAACUGGGCGUUAAGUUGCAGGGUAUAGACCCGAAACCCGGUGAUCUAGCCAUGGGCAGGUUGAAGGUUGGGUAACACUAACUGGAGGACCGAACCGACUAAUGUUGAAAAAUUAGCGGAUGACUUGUGGCUGGGGGUGAAAGGCCAAUCAAACCGGGAGAUAGCUGGUUCUCCCCGAAAGCUAUUUAGGUAGCGCCUCGUGAAUUCAUCUCCGGGGGUAGAGCACUGUUUCGGCAAGGGGGUCAUCCCGACUUACCAACCCGAUGCAAACUGCGAAUACCGGAGAAUGUUAUCACGGGAGACACACGGCGGGUGCUAACGUCCGUCGUGAAGAGGGAAACAACCCAGACCGCCAGCUAAGGUCCCAAAGUCAUGGUUAAGUGGGAAACGAUGUGGGAAGGCCCAGACAGCCAGGAUGUUGGCUUAGAAGCAGCCAUCAUUUAAAGAAAGCGUAAUAGCUCACUGGUCGAGUCGGCCUGCGCGGAAGAUGUAACGGGGCUAAACCAUGCACCGAAGCUGCGGCAGCGACGCUUAUGCGUUGUUGGGUAGGGGAGCGUUCUGUAAGCCUGUGAAGGUGUGCUGUGAGGCAUGCUGGAGGUAUCAGAAGUGCGAAUGCUGACAUAAGUAACGAUAAAGCGGGUGAAAAGCCCGCUCGCCGGAAGACCAAGGGUUCCUGUCCAACGUUAAUCGGGGCAGGGUGAGUCGACCCCUAAGGCGAGGCCGAAAGGCGUAGUCGAUGGGAAACAGGUUAAUAUUCCUGUACUUGGUGUUACUGCGAAGGGGGGACGGAGAAGGCUAUGUUGGCCGGGCGACGGUUGUCCCGGUUUAAGCGUGUAGGCUGGUUUUCCAGGCAAAUCCGGAAAAUCAAGGCUGAGGCGUGAUGACGAGGCACUACGGUGCUGAAGCAACAAAUGCCCUGCUUCCAGGAAAAGCCUCUAAGCAUCAGGUAACAUCAAAUCGUACCCCAAACCGACACAGGUGGUCAGGUAGAGAAUACCAAGGCGCUUGAGAGAACUCGGGUGAAGGAACUAGGCAAAAUGGUGCCGUAACUUCGGGAGAAGGCACGCUGAUAUGUAGGUGAAGUCCCUCGCGGAUGGAGCUGAAAUCAGUCGAAGAUACCAGCUGGCUGCAACUGUUUAUUAAAAACACAGCACUGUGCAAACACGAAAGUGGACGUAUACGGUGUGACGCCUGCCCGGUGCCGGAAGGUUAAUUGAUGGGGUCAGCGCAAGCGAAGCUCUUGAUCGAAGCCCCGGUAAACGGCGGCCGUAACUAUAACGGUCCUAAGGUAGCGAAAUUCCUUGUCGGGUAAGUUCCGACCUGCACGAAUGGCGUAAUGAUGGCCAGGCUGUCUCCACCCGAGACUCAGUGAAAUUGAACUCGCUGUGAAGAUGCAGUGUACCCGCGGCAAGACGGAAAGACCCCGUGAACCUUUACUAUAGCUUGACACUGAACAUUGAGCCUUGAUGUGUAGGAUAGGUGGGAGGCUUAGAAGUGUGGACGCCAGUCUGCAUGGAGCCGACCUUGAAAUACCACCCUUUAAUGUUUGAUGUUCUAACGUUGACCCGUAAUCCGGGUUGCGGACAGUGUCUGGUGGGUAGUUUGACUGGGGCGGUCUCCUCCUAAAGAGUAACGGAGGAGCACGAAGGUUGGCUAAUCCUGGUCGGACAUCAGGAGGUUAGUGCAAUGGCAUAAGCCAGCUUGACUGCGAGCGUGACGGCGCGAGCAGGUGCGAAAGCAGGUCAUAGUGAUCCGGUGGUUCUGAAUGGAAGGGCCAUCGCUCAACGGAUAAAAGGUACUCCGGGGAUAACAGGCUGAUACCGCCCAAGAGUUCAUAUCGACGGCGGUGUUUGGCACCUCGAUGUCGGCUCAUCACAUCCUGGGGCUGAAGUAGGUCCCAAGGGUAUGGCUGUUCGCCAUUUAAAGUGGUACGCGAGCUGGGUUUAGAACGUCGUGAGACAGUUCGGUCCCUAUCUGCCGUGGGCGCUGGAGAACUGAGGGGGGCUGCUCCUAGUACGAGAGGACCGGAGUGGACGCAUCACUGGUGUUCGGGUUGUCAUGCCAAUGGCACUGCCCGGUAGCUAAAUGCGGAAGAGAUAAGUGCUGAAAGCAUCUAAGCACGAAACUUGCCCCGAGAUGAGUUCUCCCUGACUCCUUGAGAGUCCUGAAGGAA